UACGUAGGAGGCAAGCGUUGUCCGGAGUUACUGGGCGUAAAGCGCACGCAGGCGGUCCAAUCAGUCUGUAGGGACAGGGCACAGCUCAACUGUGUCAGGCUUACGGAAACUGUUGGACUUGAGGGCUUCAGAGGGAUGGGGAAUUCCGGGUGGAGUGGUGAAAUGCGUAGAGAUCCGGAGGAACACCAGUGGCGCAGGCGGCUCUCUGGGUCGGCCCUGACGCUGAGGCGCGAAAGCGUGGGGAGCGAACGGG
rnacentral:rRNA from 1 species